UCCCAUUCCGAACACGGCAGUUAAGCUCUUCAGCGCCGAUGGUAGUUGGGGGUUUCCCCCUGUGAGAGUAGGACGCCGCCA
rnacentral:rRNA from 1 species